rnacentral:misc_RNA from 1 species
ACACCCUCAAGCUCUGCUUGGUGUUGGGCGUCUGUCCCGCCCCCGCGCGUGGACUCGCCCCAAAUUCAUUGGCAGCGGUCUUUGCCUCCUCUCGCGCAGCACAUUGCGCUUCUCGGGGAGGCGCGGCCCGCGUCCAGCAAGCACAAACACCGU